rnacentral:rRNA from 1 species
GACGAACGCUGGCGGCGUGCUUAACACAUGCAAGUCGAACGGAAAGGCCCCUUUGGGGGUACUCGAGUGGCGAACGGGUGAGUAACACGUGCGUAACCUGCCCUUGACUUCGGGAUAACUUCAGGAAACUGGGGCUAAUACCGGAUAGGAAUCCUUGCUGCAUGGUGGGGGUUGGAGAGCUUCGGCGGUUUUGGAUGGACUCGCGGCUUAUCAGCUUGUUGGUGGGGUAGUGGCUUACCAAGGCUUUGACGGGUAGCCGGCCUGAGAGGGCGACCGGCCACAUUGGGACUGAGAUACGGCCCAGACUCCUACGGGAGGCAGCAGUGGGGAAUAUUGCACAAUGGGCGGAAGCCUGAUGCAGCAACGCCGCGUGCGGGAUGACGGCCUUCGGGUUGUAAACCGCUUUCAGCAGGGGCGAAGCUUGUGGUGACGGUACCUGCAGAAGAAGCACCGGCUAACUACGUG